UUCCGGUUGAUCCUGCCGGACCUGACUGCUAUCGGAUUGAUACUAAGCCAUGCGAGUCAUUGUAGCAAUACAAGGCAGACGGCUCAGUAACGCGUAGUCAACCUAACCUAUGGACGAGAAUAACCUCGGGAAACUGAGAAUAAUGCUCGAUAGAACACUAUACCUGGAAUGGUUUGUGUUCCAGAUGAUUUAUCGCCGUAGGAUGGGACUGCGGCCUAUCAGUUUGUUGGUGAGGUAAUGGCCCACCAAGACUAUUACAGGUACGGGCUCUGAGAGGAGUAGCCCGGAGAUGGGUACUGAGACACGGACCCAGGCCCUAUGGGGCGCAGCAGGCGAGAAAACUUUGCAAUGUGCGAAAGCACGACAAGGUUAAUCCGAGUGAUUUGUGCUAAACGAAUCUUUUGUUAGUCCUAGAAACACUAACGAAUAAGGGGUGGGCAAGUUCUGGUGUCAGCCGCCGCGGUAAGACCAGCACCUCAAGUGGUCAGGAUGAUUAUUGGGCCUAAAGCAUCCGUAGCCGGCUCUGUAAGUUUUCGGUUAAAUCUGUACGCUUAACGUACAGGCUGCCGGGAAUACUGCAGAGCUAGGGAGUGGGAGAGGUAGACGGUACUCGGUAGGAAGGGGUAAAAUCCUUUGAUCUAUUGAUGACCACCUGUGGCGAAGGCGGUCUACCAGAACACGUCCGACGGUGAGGGAUGAAAGCUGGGGGAGCAAACCGGAUUAGAUACCCGGGUAGUCCCAGCUGUAAACUAUGCAAACUCAGUGAUGCAUUGACUUGUGGUCAAUGCAGUGCUGCAGGGAAGCCGUUAAGUUUGCCGCCUGGGAAGUACGUACGCAAGUAUGAAACUUAAAGGAAUUGGCGGGGGAGCACCACAAGGGUGAAGCCUGCGGUUCAAUUGGAUUCAACGCCGGGAAUCACUAG
rnacentral:rRNA from 1 species